rnacentral:rRNA from 1 species
GAUGAACGCUGGCGGCGUGCCUAAUACAUGCAAGUCGAGCGAACAGACGAGGAGCUUGCUCCUCUGACGUUAGCGGCGGACGGGUGAGUAACACGUGGAUAACCUACCUAUAAGACUGGGAUAACUUCGGGAAACCGGAGCUAAUACCGGAUAAUAUAUUGAACCGCAUGGUUCAAUAGUGAAAGACGGUUUUGCUGUCACUUAUAGAUGGAUCCGCGCCGCAUUAGCUAGUUGGUAAGGUAAGGGCUUACCAAGGCAACGAUGCGUAGCCGACCUGAGAGGGUGAUCGGCCACACUGGAACUGAGACACGGUCCAGACUCCUACGGGAGGCAGCAGUAGGGAAUCUUCCGCAAUGGGCGAAAGCUUGACGGAGCAACGCCGCGUGAGUGAUGAAGGUCUUCGGAUCGUAAAACUCUGUUAUUAGGGAAGAACAAAUGUGUAAGUAACUAUGCACGUCUUGACGGUACCUAAUCAGAAAGCCACGGCUAACUACGUG